GGGUAGGGGAGCGCUCUGUAAGCCUGUGAAGGUGUACUGUGAGGUAUGCUGGAGGUAUCAGAAGUGCGAAUGCUGACAUAAGUAACGAUAAAGCGGGUGAAAAGCCCGCUCGCCGGAAGACCAAGGGUUCCUGUCCAACGUUAAUCGGGGCAGGGUGAGUCGACCCCUAAGGCGAGGCCGAAAGGCGUAGUCGAUGGGAAACAGGUUAAUAUUCCUGUACUUGGUGUUACUGCGAAGGGGGGACGGAGAAGGCUAUGUUGGCCGGGCGACGGUUGUCCCGGUUUAAGCGUGUAGGCUGGUUUUCCAGGCAAAUCCGGAAAAUCAAGGCUGAGGCGUGAUGACGAGGCACUACGGUGCUGAAGCAACAAAUGCCCUGCUUCCAGGAAAAGCCUCUAAGCAUCAGGUAACAUCAAAUCGUACCCCAAACCGACACAGGUGGUCAGGUAGAGAAUACCAAGGCGCUUGAGAGAACUCGGGUGAAGGAACUAGGCAAAAUGGUGCCGUAACUUCGGGAGAAGGCACGCUGAUAUGUAGGUGAAGCGACUUGCUCGCGGAGCUGAAAUCAGUCGAAGAUACCAGCUGGCUGCAACUGUUUAUUAAAAACACAGCACUGUGCAAACACGAAAGUGGACGUAUACGGUGUGACGCCUGCCCGGUGCCGGAAGGUUAAUUGAUGGGGUUAGCGCAAGCGAAGCUCUUGAUCGAAGCCCCGGUAAACGGCGGCCGUAACAAUAACGGUCCUAAGGUAGCGAAAUUCCUUGUCGGGUAAGUUCCGACCUGCACGAAUGGCGUAAUGAUGGCCAGGCUGUCUCCACCCGAGACUCAGUGAAAUUGAACUCGCUGUGAAGAUGCAGUGUACCCGCGGCAAGACGGAAAGACCCCGUGAACCUUUACUAUAGCUUGACACUGAACAUUGAGCCUUGAUGUGUAGGAUAGGUGGGAGGCUUUGAAGUGUGGACGCCAGUCUGCAUGGAGCCGACCUUGAAAUACCACCCUUUAAUGUUUGAUGUUCUAACGUUGACCCGUAAUCCGGGUUGCGGACAGUGUCUGGUGGGUAGUUUGACUGGGGCGGUCUCCUCCUAAAGAGUAACGGAGGAGCACGAAGGUUGGCUAAUCCUGGUCGGACAUCAGGAGGUUAGUGCAAUGGCAUAAGCCAGCUUGACUGCGAGCGUGACGGCGCGAGCAGGUGCGAAAGCAGGUCAUAGUGAUCCGGUGGUUCUGAAUGGAAGGGCCAUCGCUCAACGGAUAAAAGGUACUCCGGGGAUAACAGGCUGAUACCGCCCAAGAGUUCAUAUCGACGGCGGUGUUUGGCACCUCGAUGUCGGCUCAUCACAUCCUGGGGCUGAAGUAGGUCCCAAGGGUAUGGCUGUUCGCCAUUUAAAGUGGUACGCGAGCUGGGUUUAGAACGUCGUGAGACAGUUCGGUCCCUAUCUGCCGUGGGCGCUGGAGAACUGAGGGGGGCUGCUCCUAGUACGAGAGGACCGGAGUGGACGCAUCACUGGUGUUCGGGUUGUCAUGCCAAUGGCACUGCCCGGUAGCUAAAUGCGGAAGAGAUAAGUGCUGAAAGCAUCUAAGCACGAAACUUGCCCCGAGAUGAGUUCUCCCUGACUCCUUGAGAGUCCUGAAGGAACGUUGAAGACGACGACGUUGAUAGGCCGGGUGUGUAAGCGCAGCGAUGCGUUGAGCUAACCGGUACUAAUGAACCGUGAGGCUUAACC
rnacentral:rRNA from 1 species